rnacentral:rRNA from 1 species
GGUUGAUCCUGCCGGACCCUACUGCUAUCGGGGUGGGACUUAGACAUGCGAGUCGAACGCUUCGCAGCCAUGAGUGAAGCGUGGCGAACGGCUCAGUAACACGUGGCUAACCUAACCUUGAGACGGAGACAACCCCGGGAAGCUGGGGCUAAUCCCAGAUAGAUGAGAACUCCUGGAAUGGGUUCUCGUCCAAAAGGCGUUAGGGUCAUGCUCCUUAACGUCGCUCAAGGAUGGGGCCGCGGCCGAUCAGGCUGUUGGUGAGGCAACGGCUCACCAAACCUAUAACCGGUACGGGCCGUGGGAGCGGGAGCCCGGAGAUGGGAACUGAGACAAGGUCCCAGGCCCUACGGGGCGCAGCAGUUACGAAAACUUGUCAAUGCACGAAAGUGUGAACGGGCUACCCCGAGUGCCGUCCGCUGAGGAUGGCUUUUCUCUGCUGUAAGAAGGCGGAGGAAUAAGGCGAGGGCAAGUCUGGUGUCAGCCGCCGCGGUAAUACCAGCUCGCCGAGUGGUGGGGAUGUUUAUUGGGCUUAAAGCGUCCGUAGCUGGCCUUUCAAGUCUCUCGUUAAAUCCAGCGAUUCAAUCGUUGGACUGCGGGAGAUACUGUUUGGCUAGGGGGCGGGAGAAGCCGACGGUAUUUUCGUGGUAGGGGUAAAAUCCUAUAAUCCCGGGAAGACCACCAGUGGCGAAGGCGGUCGGCUAGCACGCGCUCGACGGUGAGGGACGAAAGCUGGGGGAGCGAACCGGAUUAGAUACCCGGGCAGUCCCAGCUGUAAACGAUGCGGGCUAGGUGUUGGAGCGGCUACGAGCCGCUUCAGUGCCGCAGGGAAGCCAUUAAGCCUGCCGCCUGGGGAGUACGGCCGCAAGGCUGAAACUUAAAGGAAUUGGCGGGGGAGCACCACAAGGGGUGAAGCUUGCGGUUUAAUUGGAUUCAACGCCGGG